AGGGACGUCACGAGGGUUACGACCCAUCGACUUAUCAGUUCUAGUUAGCGGUUGGUGGCUCUCGAGGUCUUAUUCCGGCUUUCUAACAGACUCUUGACAUGAAGGAAGGAGGUCAUCACUUGCAUGUGAAAUUUGUGCCUUAUGAGCAUCAUGAAGAUUGAUACCACUUCAAGAAGAUAAGAGGAAUAAGUUUGCUUGAAGAUUAAUGAAAAGUUGCACAUGGUUAGGUUAUUCCGAUUUGAUAUCUUGUGAAAGUGUGUUCUUGUUGUAAGUGUGCUUUUUUGCCUUCAUUUGUGGCUAAAGCUUGCUGGCAUAUACUUGAAUUUUUUACGAGACUUGAAUAUUGUUUGUGGGGUAUGCAUGGCAUGCAGCAAGGUUAGCAUUCUUGUGUCCGCAAUUUUGACUUGCUUCUCGAGUGAGAUGUAGGCAAAUUGGUGGAUAUUUUGCUUUACUGACAGCAUGGAUCAACGAGCAUUUUCAUAAUGUUAUUACU